GAAGGAAACUUGUUGGGGAGGAUUCAAUGUCUGUUGAGAACCAUGUGAAUGUGCUACAAAGUGAGUUUCAGAAAACACAUCCAGACACCUCAACUGUCAAAGUCCACUCGGCACAAAAAGUUUCCUGAAGAUGUUGAGAAAGCAUGGAAGGAAUGUCUGUGGAGGAUGUACUCAAAAAAUGCCCAUACUUAAGGACACCUGCUGGAGUAUCGUUGACUGGCAGUCUGUCAGUCCAGAUGUGAAGAAGACAUGCAGAGUGGAGUUGGAACUCAGCAGAUCUAUCUAUCUAUCUAUCUAUCUAUCUAUCU